rnacentral:rRNA from 1 species
UACGGAGGGUGCAAGCGUUAUCCGGAUUCACUGGGUUAAAGGGUGCGUAGGCGGCUUGAUAAGUCAUUGGUGAAAGCUCGCAGCUUAACUGCGAAACUGCCAUUGAAACUGUCAAGCUUGAAUGUGGUUGAAGUGGGCGGAAUACAACAUGUAGCGGUGAAAUGCUUAGAUAUGUUUAGAACACCGAUUGCGAAGGCAGCUCACUAAGCCAAUAUUGACGCUGAGGCACGAAAGCGUGGGUAGCGAACAGG